GAUGAACGCUGGCGGCGUGCCUAAUACAUGCAGGUCGAGCGAACGGACGAGAAGCUUGCUUCUCUGAUGUUAGCGGCGGACGGGUGAGUAACACGUGGAUAACCUACCUAUAAGACUGGGAUAACUUCGGGAAACCGGAGCUAAUACCGGAUAAUAUUUUGAACCGCAUGGUUCAAAAGUGAAAGACGGUCUUGCUGUCACUUAUAGAUGGAUCCGCGCUGCAUUAGCUAGUUGGUAAGGUAACGGCUUACCAAGGCAACGAUGCAUAGCCGACCUGAGAGGGUGAUCGGCCACACUGGAACUGAGACACGGUCCAGACUCCUACGGGAGGCAGCAGUAGGGAAUCUUCCGCAAUGGGCGAAAGCCUGACGGAGCAACGCCGCGUGAGUGAUGAAGGUCUUCGGAUCGUAAAACUCUGUUAUUAGGGAAGAACAUAUGUGUAAGUAACUGUGCACAUCUUGACGGUACCUAAUCAGAAAGCCACGGCUAACUACGUGCCAGCAGCCGCGGUAAUACGUAGGUGGCAAGCGUUAUCCGGAAUUAUUGGGCGUAAAGCGCGCGUAGGCGGUUUUUUAAGUCUGAUGUGAAAGCCCACGGCUCAACCGUGGAGGGUCAUUGGAAACUGGAAAACUUGAGUGCAGAAGAGGAAAGUGGAAUUCCAUGUGUAGCGGUGAAAUGCGCAGAGAUAUGGAGGAACACCAGUGGCGAAGGCGACUUUCUGGUCUGUAACUGACGCUGAUGUGCGAAAGCGUGGGGAUCAAACAGG
rnacentral:rRNA from 1 species